UGUGGGGAGGGGCGUGUGUUGGGAAACCGACCCACGAUUUACCAGUCUUGCAAUGACCUGCAGGAAAGUGCUGUGGUCGUUGCCGGUUUUUUGCGUCUGGCAGUAUUUGAGCCUUCAACUGAUUAAAUGAGGUCCACCCACAUCAGAGGGGCAAUCGACUUCACUCCGUCUACCGAUUCAAAUGUUAAUCUCAUCUAGAAACAUCCUCACAGAAACACUCAAUAAUGUUUGACCAAAUGUUUGGGCACCCAUGGCCCAGGCAAGUUGACACAUAAAACUAACCAUCAUGGGACUUCCCUGGUGGCGCAGUGGUUAAGAAUCUGCCUGCCAAUGCAGGGGACAUGGGUUCAAGCCCUGGUCCAGGAAGAUCCCACAUGCCGCGGAGCAACUAAGCCCAUGCGCCACAACUACUGAGCCUGCGCUCUAGAGCCCUCGAGCCACAACUACUGAGCCCACGUGCCACAACUACUGAAGCCCGUGCACCUAGAGCCCGUGCUCCGCAACAAGAGAAGCCACUGCAAUGAGAAGCCCGCGCACCGCAACGAAGAGCAGCCCCCGCUCACCACAACUAGAGAAAAGCCUGAAUGCAGCAAUGAAGACCCAAUGCAGCCAAAAAUAAAGAAAAACAAAACAAAAAAAAACUAACCAUCAUGGUGAGGAUCUCUUCUGUGGGUCCAGAGGACAGCAGCUGGGACCCUAGACCUCAGGGGGAGGGAUCACAUCCCAGCAGUCGCCUAUGCCUG